CCAGCGGCCGCGACGCUAUGGCGCACUGGAGUACCCUGUUCCUGGCAGGGAGGAACAGGAAGAGAAGAGUGUGGCCUCCUAGAAAUCUAGCACGGAGAAAGAUGGAGUCUCCCUCUGUCGCCUAGGCUGGAGUGUAGUGGUGUGAUCUCGGCUCACUGCAACCUCCACCUCCCGGAUUCAAGCGAUUUUUCCUGCCUCAGCCUCCCUAGUAGCUAGGAUUACAGGCGCCUGCCACCACACCCAGCUAAUUUUUGUAUUUUCAGUAGAGACAGGGGUUUUGCCAUUUUGGCCAGGCUGGUCUCGAACUCCUGACCUCAAGUGAUCCACCCACUUCGGCCUCCCAAACACUUUGAAAGGCUGAGGAGGAUGGAUCACCGGAGGUCAGGGGUUCAAGACCAGCCUGGCCAACAUGGGGAAGCCCCGUCUCUACUAAAAAUACAAAAUUAGCCAGGCUUGAUGGUGGGCACCUGUAAUCCCAGCUGCUUGGGAGGCUGAGGCAGGAGAAUUGCUUGAACCCAGGAGGCAGAGGUUGCAGCGAGCUGAGAUCACAUCACUGCACUCCAGCCUGGGCAACAAGAGCGAAACUCUGUCGGGAAGGGGAGAGGAGGGGAGGGGAGGGGAGAAGGAAGGAAGGAUCGAAAGAAAGACAAAGAAGGAAGGGAGAGAGAGAGGGGGAAAGAAAGAAAGAAAAGAGAAAGAAAGAAAAAAAAAGGAAGGAAGGAACGAAGGAAAAAGGGAAGGAGGAAGGAAGGAAGGAAAGAAAGAAAGAAAAGGUAAGAAAGAAAACCGUGGAUGACCGCAGACGGCCACAGGUGACAUUUCAAGCUGUGAAUUUGGAGAGAGAGGGCGCUCCAGGCAACUGUGGGGUGACUGCUCCCCCUGGUGGCCAUAUAUGGCUAAAGCAAGUAGAAGUCCAGACACACCUGGAGAACAGGUGCCAUCGCCUGAAAGCAACCGUAACCACGACAACAAGGCCAGGUGCAGAACCCAGGUCUCCCCCCUUUAUUAGAACCUGUGGAGAGAUCAUGAAUGUAUUCUCCGAUAUGUUUAUUUUCAGGGGUUAAAAAAAAAAUCUCCCCAGUGUCACUUCUCCCAGGAACGUGUGUAUGUGAAUGGCUUAAAAACUGUUGCCCUUGACAAAGAAAUGUACCAAUCUCCAAUGACAGAAUAUUUAAUCGAGG
rnacentral:lncRNA from 1 species